rnacentral:rRNA from 1 species
AUUGAACGCUGGCGGCAGGCUUAACACAUGCAAGUCGAGCGAGCGGCGGACGGGUGAGUAAUGUAUGGGAAACUGCCUGAUGGAGGGGGAUAACUACUGGAAACGGUAGCUAAUACCGCAUACCAUCAGAUGUGCCCAGAUGGGAUUAGCUAGUAGGUGGGGUAAUGGCUCACCUAGGCGACGAUCCCUAGCUGGUCUGAGAGGAUGACCGGCCACACUGGACCGGAGCAACGGUCCAGAUCCCUCCGGGAGGCAGCAGUGGGGAAUAUUGGACAAUGGGGGCAAGCUUGACGCAGCCCUGCGGCGUGUGUGAGGAAGGCCUUGGGGUUGUAAAGUACUUUCAGAGAGGAGGCGUUACUCGAACAAGAAGCACCGGCUAACUCCGUGCCAGCAGCCGCGGUAAUAC